rnacentral:rRNA from 1 species
UGGGGAAUCUUGCGCAAUGGGCGAAAGCCUGACGCAGCGACGCCGCGUGCGGGAAGAAGGCCUUCGGGUUGUAAACCGCUUUCAGGGGGGACGAAGCCACUCGGGUUAAUAGCCCAGAGGGUGACGGUACCUCCAGAAGAAGCCCCGGCUAACUACGUGCCAGCAGCCGCGGUAAUACGUAGGGGGCAAGCGUUGUCCGGAUUUAUUGGGCGUAAAGCGCGUGUAGGCGGCCAUGCAGGUCCGCUGUGAAAACUAGAGGCUCAACCUCUAGAGGUCGGUGGAAACCGCAUGGCUAGAGUCCGGAAGAGGAGACUGGAAUUCCCGGUGUAGCGGUGGAAUGCGCAGAUAUCGGGAGGAACACCCGUGGCGAAGGCGGGUCUCUGGGACGGUACUGACGCUGAGACGCGAAAGCGUGGGGAGCGAACAG